GAUGGUUGACUCCGGUUAUCCGAGAUCCCAGAGAAAACCGGAGUCAUCCCUCUUU
rnacentral:pre_miRNA from 1 species